rnacentral:lncRNA from 1 species
UGUAGAAGCCCAAAUUUGCCGGGCCCAUACCAACAAAAUAACCCAAACAAUAAACCCGAAGCCCAACUACCCCAGCCCAUUAACCUAAGCUCAGCAUUCAGAAACCCUAAUCCCACUAACCCUAGCCACCUACCCCCCACUUGCCCACUUGCCCACUUGCGCCGAACACCACCAUGCCACUGUCGGCCAUGGCCACCUGCAAGAAGCCAAGUAGAAAUAAACAAAUAGAAAAUAAACAUUUGUAAUCGGUUAUAAAAACCGAAAAUCUCACCAUUGAUAGGGGGAUUUUUUAUUUUUUGCUAUGAAAACAAAAGAUUUUCUUUCAAUAUUAACAGAUUCAAUACAAGAACCAUUCGAAAAUAUAUAUACUAUCAGGGGCUCUAACACCAAAUCGGAGAAUCAAAUCUAAAACCUAAGGUGACUCUUUCUUUUUUUUUUCUUUACUGUUUUGAGUUUAUUUUCUACAUAAAAAAAAAAAGGGAGAGGCCAAGGCGAAAACCCGCAAAGGGCACCUUGAAACCAAAGGGGUUUUGAAUUGAAAACCCAGGAAUGGGCAAUUCAAAUUUUCGAUCAAAGAUGAGGCAUAAAGUAGUUUUGUCUUCUUCGAAUUAACAAGAAGGAAAGAUGCUACAUCUUGGGGCAUCAACAAAGCCUUCUAGGACUUCUAAACACAUAUCAAGUUCAAAAGGGUCCUUAAGAAGUUUGGGGCAGAGAAGCUCAUGCUACGAUAUCUGGGGCACCUAUUUCUAUUUUAUUCAUUUUUUUGUAUUUUUGACAAAAUACAUCAUCUUGAUUAAUUUAUUCUCGUUUUGUAUUCUAGCAAAAUUUGCUAUCUUGAUUAAUUUGUUUAUUUAGAGCUUUGCUCUCAGCAAAUUUUCAUCUUAUCCGUUGUGAUAAUCUUUUUCAUCUUAUUCCUCUCGUAUCUCAGCAAAAUUUGCUAUCUUGAUUUGUUUGUUUAGAGCUUUGCUCUCAACAAAAUUUCAUUUUGUCCAUUUUAAUAAUCUUUUUCAAGCAUUUUUCAUUGAAAUAACGAUUAAUGGACUGACAAUACACAUGCAGAAGGAGUUCUGCAUAUUACUCUGAAAGUUUCUAAAUAAUACGAGGACCUGAAACAGGACUAUUGUUUAGAACUAACCAAACCUAAGGGUUGGAAACAUUUGAGAAAUGAUAGUCUAAAUAGCAUCUAUUUCUUUAGGUUUUCUGUCAAAGGUACUGGCUGAACAAGAAGGCAUCAGUGAUAGAACCUUGAUGAACAAUGAGGAAUGACAACCUAAGCAUUAAAAAUGAAUCAUUCUCAUGACAUUCUACAAAUAUAAUACAUACACAUCUAGUUAGGAGCAUUUGAUUCAUUCUGAUCAUGUCAUCCUAAACACUAGGCGUAAAUAGGUCCUAUCUUCCUAUAUUGGUAGGAAGUGGAUCAAAGAUGCAGAUCUUGUCUUCCCAUAUUGGUGGCGAAGUAGAUCGAAGAAAGCAGAUCUUGUCUUCAUGUAUUGGCGUGAAGUAGAUCGAAGGUAGCAGAUCCUAUCUUCCUAUAUUGGUAGGAAGUGGAUCGAAGAUGCAGAUCUUGUCUUCCCAUAUUGGUGGCGAAGUAGAUCGAAGAAAGCAGAUCUUGUCUUCAUGUAUUGGCGUGAAGUAGAUCGAAGGUAGCAGAUCCUAUCUUCCUAUAUUGGUAGGAAGUGGAUCGAAGAUGCAGAUCUUGUCUUCCCAUAUUGGUGGCGAAGUAGAUCGUAGAAAGCAGAUCUUGUCUUCAUGUAUUGGCGUGAAGUAGAUCGAAGGUAGCAGAUCCUAUCUUCCUAUAUUGGUAGGAAGGGGAUCGAAGAUGCAGAUCUUGUCUUCCCAUAUUGGUGGCGAAGUAGAUCGCAGAAAGCAGGUCUUGUCUUCAUGUAUUGGCGUGAAGUAGAUCGAAGAUAGCAGGUCCUAUCUUCCUAUAUUGAUAGGAAGUGGAUCCAAGAUGCAGAUCUUGUCUUCCCAUACUAGUGGUGAAGUAGAUCGAAAAAAAAAAAAAGCAGAUCUGGUAUUCAUAUAUUGGUUUGAAGUAGAUCGAAGAUUGCAGAUCUUGCCUUCCUGUAUUUGGCAGCGAAGCAGAUCAAAGAUGGCGGAUUUUACCUCCCUGACUAUAGUGGAGUACAUUGAAGCCGAUAAUUCUAUCUCCCUGUAUUUGGCAGUGGAAUAGAUUGAAGAUUACAGAUCUUACCUUCCUGUAUUUGGCAGCGAAGCAGAUCAAAGAUGUCAGAUUUUACCUCCCUGACUACAGUGGAGUACAUUGAAGCCGAUAACUCUAUCUCCCUGUAUUUGGCAGUGGAAUAGAUUGAAGAUUACAGAUCUUAUCUCCCUAAGCAAUAAUGGAGUAGGUUGAAGACGGCAGAUUUUACCUCACUGAUUACAAUGGAGUACAUUGAAGCUGUUAGUUCUACUUCCCUGGGAAACAUUGGAAUAGAUUGAAGAUUUCAGGUCUUAUCUCCCUAAGUAGUAGUGGAGCAGAUCACACCCAAUCUUAUCUCCCUAAAUAGUAGUGGAGCAGACUAAAAACACAAAUCUCAUCCCCAUGGAGUCGUAGCAAAGUAUAUUGAAGCUACAAGGCGUAUCUGAAUUUGAAGUAGAGUGGAUCGAAGCAACAAGAUGUAGCAGGCUGGAAUAAGGCUACUUGAAGAAGAGAAGCACCCAAAGAAGUCAAGCCUCGGUGAGACCAGGCAAAUUUGGUCUUUUUUUAGUCCUUGCUCUGUUCUUGUUACACAAAAACGAGCAAAGAGGGGCAGCUGUAGAAGCCCAAAUUUGCCGGGCCCAUACCAACAAAAUAACCCAAACAAUAAACCCGAAGCCCAACUACCCCAGCCCAUUAACCUAAGCUCAGCAUUCAGAAACCCUAAUCCCACUAGCCCUAGCCACCUACCCCCCACUUGCCCACUUGCCCACUUGCGCCGAACACCACCAUGCCACUGUCGGCCAUGGCCACCUGCAAGAAGCCAAGUAGAAAUAAACAAAUAG